CAGACUUUUCCCAAGAUGGUAAUGAAAUUGCCUGUUUUCUUUUUUAAGCUUGAAGAGUAACUGUUACAGAAAUGAAGGGAAAUUAAAUGGGAUAAUGUGCACUAUUAAACACAACACUGUAUAGACUUAGACAGCCAAAUUAAUCCACCCUGAGUGCCACAGACCACUGGAAACUCUUUUG